UCUAAAACGAAUCAAGAGCCGGGCCAAGGAAUACCUGGUGCGUGGCUUGGUGCCGGUCGCCCAGGAGGUCCUUAAGGCUCGAUCAGUCCUCUUCCAUGGCGUGUCCACUCUUCUCAAAGUCUUUCCCAUCAUGGCCUGCAAUCGCACACUGCAGGGGACAUGAAUCUGUGACCCAACCACCAAUCCAUUAUUGUGAGUGAAGAUUCCAUUCAGUCC